ACCUCUGCACUAGAGAAUCCAAUCUGACACUGCUCUCUUGGUUUGCUUGUUUCAGGUUGAAAGAUUGAAUUUGAUGGCAACUUUACUGUAUCUCAUCGGUGGACAAGGUGGAGGUUCAUUUGAACUCACUGGGAGGGAAAAUGGUGCCACCCUCAAGAAGAUUGGAGUGGCAGUGGGCGGCUGGCAGAUCAAAGCUGUGCGGGCAGAGCUGACCGACGGGCGUGUGAAGACCUUUGGAGAUGCAAACACUUUCAUUGAGUUUGAGUUCAGCCUUGGUAAAAAAAGAAUAUAUAAAAUCGGUGUCUUAUCACAACAACACCACUGAGCCUCAAGAACAGACCGUUCAGUACAGCAGGACCGUGACCAAGUCUUCCUCCUGGACCACCACCAAUAAGAUUGAGUCCACCCUCAGUGUGUCUGUUCAAGCAGGGAUCCCAGAUCUGGUGGAGGUGUCUGGUGGGUGGAGCUUGACCAUGGGACAACAGCAGUCCUCCUCAAUGUCCAAUGAGGAGACCAUAACAGAAGCAGAUACCGCCACUGUGAAAAUCCCUCCAGGGAAGACCGUGUCUGUUGAGAUGUCAGUGGGAUGAGCAGUCAUCGACCUCGCCUACUCAGCUGUAGUGAAAGUCUGCCUGAAUGGUAGCGAGCUGGUCUUCCCAUCUACAGGGAACGACAAUGGUGUGACUUACACUUCAGUGAAUAUAAGGACCACUGAGUCUGAUAAAGUUAUGAAUGUAAAUUAAGAUGUAUUAACAUCUUACUGUGCAUAGUUUCAUAUUGAUUGCAAAAGAUUGAUUUGAUUGCUAAUGUAGAGUCCAGUGAACUUGCUGAGUGAAUGACUGUAACAGAUAAAUAAAUCAUCAUUAUAAACCUG